CAGUCGCCGCGGUAAUACGUAGGUGGCGAGCGUUGUCCGGAUUUAUUGGGCGUAAAGGGAGUGUAGGCGGUCUUUUAAGUCUGAUGUGAAAGCCCACGGCUCAACCGUGGAGGGUCAUUGGAAACUGGGAGACUUGAGUGCAGAAGAGGAGAGCGGAAUUCCAUGUGUAGCGGUGAAAUGCGUAGAUAUAUGGAGGAACACCAGUGGCGAAGGCGGCUCUCUGGUCUGUAACUGACGCUGAGGCUCGAAAGCGUGGGGAGCAAACAGGAUUAGAUACCCCGGUAGUCCCUGUCUCUUAUAC
rnacentral:rRNA from 1 species